CUCGGCCGGGUAUAUAAAGAGGGGUUUAACCGCUUCUGAGCAUUGCCAACUGUUUCGUUGUGGUAGAACGUAAGAGCUGGAAAUUGUGCUUUCGUGCUUUGUCAAACCUAAAGUUCUUAUUUCUGCAACGGAGUCUUAUCAACAAGUUUCUCCUUGUCUGAAGUUCCACGUAACUUGUUAAAUAAGCCCGUCAGUGAGGCUCAACCUUGAGAGCGAUACGAUGCAGCAAUCCGGCAAGAACGAACCUGUCCCCAUGCUGACUCGCGUCCGCAGCAAAACGUUCAUCGUCACCGUCGAGGCGCCCGAGGGCCUCCCGAGCAUGGGAACCGCCGUCAAAGGACUCCUGCUGAACUGGCUCAAGUCUGGGAGCGUCAACGCCGCGCAGCAGAAAGGCUUUAUACUCCCCGGAACGUGGACUCAGAGCGUCACGAUGGCCAAGUGAGAGGGGUACUCCGGGAUGCGACAGCGUUUACAGCUUCAGCCAAAAUUGCAUUGCUGUGGAAGAUAUGCAGAGCUUUAACUAAUCUAAGGUGGCUUUCUAAUUAUGUAGAAUGGAAUCCUACCAAUAUUUUGGAAAGUUCAUCAAUUAUGUUUGUGUAAUUAAGAAACAUUUGAUCUCAUUCUCCCUUCACCGGAAGUGACCAGAGAAAUGGCGAAUAGAACAGUGCCGCUAGUAAAAAGCGAUAUAAAACUAGGAAUAACCUGCAAGUGUUUCGUGAGUCUUAUCAACAAGUUUCUCCUUGUCUGAAGUUCCACGUAAUGGCGGUGUAGGUUAUGGAGGCAGGUACAGUUUGUCGGGGAAACCCAAGCUUUGAAAAUCUGGUAAUAUGGAUAUAUCUUACUGAUAGAUUUAAGAUAUGCAAAUAUGAUUUUCUCUGUAGUAUAAGGUCCAAGAAUUGUUGAAAACACAUACUGUGAUGACACACUGUUAUGUAACACAUGUGAUAUAGAUGUUUAGCUUUAGUAUGAAAUGUAUACGACUAUAUUAUAUUUUAUAUGACAUUUUUAUACUACUGGUAACACUCCAGCAAUUAUAUGUAAUAAAUGCACGCGUUCACAAA